CUCCAAGAAGCCUAUACUUCUGUCGAAGCUCGAGGGUUGCAAUGACGACGUCAAUGCCGCCGUUAUCAUUCCCAGGGUUGACGGCGUCAUCAGCGUCUGCGACGACAGAACUGUCAGAGUUUGGUUGAAACGUGACUCAGGACAAUACUGGCCAAGCGUAUGCAUGUACAUGGUUGCAGCACCAACCUCUCUUGAUUUUUGUCCUGAAACCAGACAGCUGUUUGUUGGAUUAGAUAAUGGCAGUAUAAAUGAGUUUUUAUUGGAAAGCGAUUACAAUCGUAUGACAGCCAUUCGAGAAUACAUGGCUCAUCAAGCAAGAGUUGCUGCAGUAGUUUUUUCUUUGAGCUGUGAAUGGGUACUUAGUAUAGGUAGAGACAAAUUGUUCCAGUUCCACAGUACUGAAAAUGGAAAGGAUCACAUCAAAUAAUAUGUUCAAUAAUCCAAAAGGUAACGUCUACAAAAAGUUGCUGUACCACAUGCAUGGAACAUACACCUACAACAUGUUUCUACACAAUAUGGAGGAGUCUUUUG